AUCACUGCAAAAGUGCAAGACGUACGGUGGUGAGGUGGUGGCUAGCUACACGAAGUAGGCUACAACAAAGUUAGAAAAUCUAACGGUUAUGGCCAAGAAGGAGAUGUCCUGCCUUGGGAGUGAAUCAAAUGGAAAAGGGGGUGUCCUAGCUCCAGCUGCAAUGGUCGCUGACAUGCAUUGGACGCACCCAGUGAUGGGGAGUGCUGGUGGACAGGAUCUGCGCGUCCUAUCAGAAAGUGAGUCAGACCUUCGGCAGUGAGCCAGUCAAAGAAAUGAGUGAAGCGAUAGUGCCCGUCAUCCUGUCUAUCCUCCGCCAGCCCAGCGUAAAAGAGAGCGGAAAAGAACAACGACGAACCAUUGAAUCAACAGAGGACGUGUUGGCUCUCCAAUAAGAAGUUUUGCUGUAUCAGAGAUGUAGAAAUAGAUACAUUGCUUCAGAAAAUUAGAAAUAGAUAAAUUCGAAAUAGAAGUUACAUUGACAUUGACUGACGAGGUCCUUCCAUUUAAUAAAUACUAUUCGUCAUUAAAUGUGUAUUGCCAUUUCAUUUAUGACAUGCAAUCAAAUGAGUCGGACUGACUGUGAUUCAUAAUAGUGAUUUAAUCAUCUUCUGCAAUUUAGUUGUUGACCAUGGCGUAGCGCUCAGUGGAUAGCCUAGGCUUGCAGUACUGUAGCCUACGUCGUUCAUUGACUGCACGAGUUUUGCACAGACUGAA